AUUGAACGCUGGCGGCAUGCUUUACACAUGCAAGUCGAACGGUAACAGGCCGCAAGGUGCUGACGAGUGGCGAACGGGUGAGUAAUGCAUCGGAACGUGCCCAGUCGUGGGGGAUAACGCAGCGAAAGCUGCGCUAAUACCGCAUACGAUCUAUGGAUGAAAGCGGGGGACCGUAAGGCCUCGCGCGAUUGGAGCGGCCGAUGUCAGAUUAGGUAGUUGGUGGGGUAAAGGCUCACCAAGCCAACGAUCUGUAGCUGGUCUGAGAGGACGAACAGCCACACUGGGACUGAGACACGGCCCAGACUCCUACGGGAGGCAGCAGUGGGGAAUUUCGGACAAUGGGCGCAAGCCUGAUCCAGCAAUGCCGCGUGCAGGAUGAAGGCCUUCGGGUUGUAAACUGCUUUUGUACGGAACGAAAAGCCCUGGGUUAAUACCCUGGGGUCAUGACGGUACCGUAAGAAUAAGCACCGGCUAACUACGUGCCAGCCGCCGCCGUAAGAC
rnacentral:rRNA from 1 species